AUGAGAGCUUGCUCUCGGAAGAUCUAGUGGCGAACGGGUGAGUAACACGUGAGAAACCUGCCCUGGAGUGGGGAAUAACUCGGGGAAACCCGAGCUAAUACCGCAUACCCUUGGAUGACCGCAUGGUCGACCAAGGAAAGAUUUAUCGCUCUAGGAGGGUCUCGCGGCCUAUCAGCUAGUUGGUGGGGUAAUGGCCUACCAAGGCAACGACGGGUAGCUGGUUUGAGAGAACGAUCAGCCACACUGGGGCUGAGACACGGCCCAGACUCCUACGGGAGGCAGCAGUGGGGAAUCUUGCGCAAUGGGCGAAAGCCUGACGCAGCAACGCCGCGUGCGGGAUGACGGCCUUCGUGGUUGUAAACCGCUUUCAGCAGGGACGAAAAUGACGGUACCUGCAGAAGAAGCCCCGGCUAACUACGUGCCAGCAGCCGCGGUAACACGUAGGGGGCAAGCGUUGUCCGGAUUCAUUGGGCGUAAAGAGCUCGUAGGCGGUUCAGUAAGUCAGGUGUGAAAGCUCCGAGCUCAACUCGGAGAGGCCACCUGAUACUGCUGUGACUUGAGUCCAGUAGAGGAGCGUGGAACUCCUGGUGUAGCGGUGGAAUGCGCAGAUAUCAGGAAGAACACCUGCAGCGAAGGCGGCGCUCUGGGCUGGAACUGACGCUGAGGAGCGAAAGCAUGGGUAGCAAACAGGAUUAGAUACCCUGGUAGUCCAUGCCGUAAACGUUGGGCACUAGGUGUGGGGAGCCGUCAACGCUCUCUGUGCCGUAGCUAACGCAUUAAGUGC
rnacentral:rRNA from 1 species